rnacentral:rRNA from 1 species
UACGGAGGGGGCUAGCGUUGUUCGGAAUCACUGGGCGUAAAGGGCGCGUAGGCGGCCUGAUAAGUCGGGGGUGAAAGCCUGUGGCUCAACCACAGAAUUGCCUUCGAUACUGUUAGGCUUGAGACCGGAAGAGGUAAGUGGAACUGCGAGUGUAGAGGUGAAAUUCGUAGAUAUUCGCAAGAACACCAGUGGCGAAGGCGGCUUACUGGUCCGGUUCUGACGCUGAGGCGCGAAAGCGUGGGGAGCAAACAGG